UACGGAGGGGGCUAGCGUUGCUCGGAAUCACUGGGCGUAAAGCGCACGUAGGCGGCUUUCUAAGUCAGGGGUGAAAUCCUGGAGCUCAACUCCAGAACUGCCUUUGAUACUGGGAAGCUUGAGUCCGGAAGAGGUGAGUGGAACUCCGAGUGUAGAGGUGAAAUUCGUAGAUAUUCGGAAGAACACCAGUGGCGACGGCGGCUCACUGGUCCGGUACUGACGCUGAGGUGCGAAAGCGUGGGGAGCAAACAGG
rnacentral:rRNA from 1 species